rnacentral:rRNA from 1 species
AGCGAACGCUGGCGGCAGGCUUAACACAUGCAAGUCGAACGCCCCGCAAGGGGAGUGGCAGACGGGUGAGUAACACGUGGGAACGUACCCUUUGGUUCGGAAUAACUUGGGGAAACUCAAGCUAAUACCGGAUAAGCCCUUAUGGGGAAAGGUUUACUGCCGAAGGAUCGGCCCGGGUCUGAUUAGCUAGUUGGUGAGGUAAUGGCGCAGCAAGUCGACGAUCAGUAGCUGGUCUGAGAGGAUGAUCAGACACACUGGGACUGAAACACGGCCCGGAAUCAUACGGAAGACAGCAGUGCGGAAUAUUGGACGAUGGGGUCAAUCCUGAUCCUGCCAUGCCGCGUGAGGUAUGUACGCCUUAGGGUUGUAAAGCUCUUUUACCCGGGACGAUAAUGACUGUACCGGGGGAAUAAGCCCCGGCUAACUUCGUGCCAGCAGCCGCGGUAA